rnacentral:snRNA from 1 species
UUAUAUACCGACACUCUU